UACGAGGGAUGCAAGCGUUAUCCGGAAUUAUUGGGCGUAAAGCGUUUGUAGGCGGGCGAGUGUGUUUAAUGUUAAAUCUUAAAGCUCAACUUUGAAAUUGCGUUAAAAACUGCUUGUCUUGAGUAUGGUAGGGGUAAAGGGAAUUCCCAGUGUAGCGGUGAAAUGCGUAGAUAUUGGGAAGAACACUAAACAGCGAAGGCACUUUACUAGGCUAAUACUGACGCUGAGAAACGAAAGGUAAGGUAGCGAAACGGAUUAGAUACCCGUGUAGUCUUACCCGUAAACUAUGGACACUAAACGGUAAAUUUUUAAUUUACUGUUAAAGCUAACGCGUUAAGUGUCCCGCCUGGGGAGUAUGCUUGCAAAAGUGAAACUCAAAGGAAUUGACGGGGGCCCGCACAAGCGGUGGAGCAUGUGGUUUAAUUCGACGGUACACGAAGAACCUUACCAGGAUUUGACAUGCUAGAUAGUUGCUUGAAAGAGUAACGUGCCGUAAGGAAUCUAGACACAGGUGGUGCAUGGCUGUCGUCAGUUCGUGUUGUGAAAUGUUGGGUUAAGUCCCGCAACGAACGCAACCCUUGUCUUUAGUUAUUUUCUAAAGAGACUGCCUGUAAUAAACAGGAGGAAGGUAAGGAUGAGGUCAAGUCAUCAUGCCCCUUAUGUCCUGGGCUACACACGUGCUACAAUGGGAAAGACAAUGAGCUGCAAAUCUGUAAAUUUAAGCAAAUCUCUUAAACUUUCUCGUAGUUCGGAUUGUGGGCUGCAACUCGCCCACAUGAAGUUGGAAUCGCCAGUAAUCGCCAGUCAGCUAUAUGGCGGUGAAUCCGUUCCCGGGCCU
rnacentral:rRNA from 1 species